CUUUUUGCUUAAGGCUAGCACUCUACCACUUGAGCCACAGCUCCAGUUCUGGCUUUUUCUAUAUAUGUGGUGCAGAGGAAUUGAAGCCAGGGAUUCAUGUACAUGAGGCAAGCACUCUGCCACAAGGCCAUAGUCCCAACCCCUGAUCCUUUAUUUUUAUAGU